rnacentral:rRNA from 1 species
UACGUAGGGUGCGAGCGUUGUCCGGAAUUAUUGGGCGUAAAGAGCUCGUAGGCGGUUUGUCGCGUCUGCUGUGAAAACUGGAGGCUCAACCUCCAGCCUGCAGUGGGUACGGGCAGACUAGAGUGCGGUAGGGGAGAUUGGAAUUCCUGGUGUAGCGGUGGAAUGCGCAGAUAUCAGGAGGAACACCGAUGGCGAAGGCAGAUCUCUGGGCCGUAACUGACGCUGAGGAGCGAAAGCAUGGGGAGCGAACAGG